rnacentral:rRNA from 1 species
ACGGGAAACCGGAGCUAAUACCGGAUAAUAUUCGAACCGCAUGGUUCGAUAGUGAAAGAUGGUUUUGCUAUCACUUAUAGAUGGACCUGCGCCGUAUUAGCUAGUUGGUAAGGUAACGGCUUACCAAGGCGACGAUACGUAGCCGACCUGAGAGGGUGAUCGGCCACACUGGAACUGAGACACGGUCCAGACUCCUACGGGAGGCAGCAGAC